rnacentral:rRNA from 1 species
AUUGAACGCUGGCGGCAUGCCUUACACAUGCAAGUCGAACGGCAGCGGGGACUUCGGUCCGCCGGCGAGUGGCGAACGGGUGAGUAAUGUAUCGGAACGUACCAUUCAGUGGGGGAUAACUAUCCGAAAGGAUAGCUAAUACCGCAUAUUCUGUGAGCAGGAAAGCAGGGGAUCGCAAGACCUUGCGCUGAUUGAGCGGCCGAUAUCAGAUUAGCGAGUUGGUGAGGUAACGGCUCACAAAGGCUACGAUCUGUAGCGGGUCGGAGAGGAUGAUCCGCCACACUGGGACGGAGACACGGCCCAGACUCCUACGGGAGGCAGCAGUGGGGAAUUUUGGACAAUGGGCGCAAGCCUGAUCCAGCCAUGCCGCGUGAGUGAAGAAGGCCUUCGGGUUGUAAAGCUCCUUCGGCCGGGAAGAAAUCGCAUCAGCUAAUACCUGGUGUGGAUGACGGUACCGGAAUAAGAAGCACCGGCUAACUACGUGCCAGCCGCCGCGGUAAAAC